rnacentral:lncRNA from 1 species
ACUCUAUAAAAUCUUGUUGAACAAUGUUAAAAUACAGAAAUCUUUGUAUAUAUUUAAAAAAUGCAUUGGUGUAUGGGUACAUUGCACGUUCUGAUUACUGAAGUAGUCAACACGUUAUUCCUAGUAUUCAUAAAUCUUUGUCUUUUCUUUCUUUUUUUAAUUCUCGUAUAAUUUUCUUUUGGCAAAAAUUCUUGUUUCUUUU